rnacentral:misc_RNA from 1 species
GAUCAUUACCGAGUGAGGGCCCUCUGGGUCCAACCUCCCACCCGUGUUUAUUUUACCUUGUUGCUUCGGCGGGCCCGCCUUAACUGGCCGCCGGGGGGCUUACGCCCCCGGGCCCGCGCCCGCCGAAGACACCCUCGAACUCUGUCUGAAGAUUGUAGUCUGAGUGAAAAUAUAAAUUAUUUAAAACUUUCAACAACGGAUCUCUUGGUUCCGGCAUCGAUGAAGAACGCAGCGAAAUGCGAUACGUAAUGUGAAUUGCAAAUUCAGUGAAUCAUCGAGUCUUUGAACGCACAUUGCGCCCCCUGGUAUUCCGGGGGGCAUGCCUGUCCGAGCGUCAUUUCUGCCCUCAAGCACGGCUUGUGUGUUGGGCCCCGUCCUCCGAUCCCGGGGGACGGGCCCGAAAGGCAGCGGCGGCACCGCGUCCGGUCCUCGAGCGUAUGGGGCUUUGUCACCCGCUCUGUAGGCCCGGCCGGCGCUUGCCGAUCAACCCAAAUUUUUAUCCAGGUUGACCUCGGAUCAGG